AUUGAACGCUGGAGGCAGGCCUAACACAUGCAAGUCGAACGAGUGGCGGACGGGUGAGUAAUGUCUGGGAAACUGCCUGAUGGAGGGGGAUAACUACUGGAAACGGUAGCUAAUACCGCAUACCAUCGGAUGUGCACAGAUGGGAUUAGCUAGUAGGUGGGGUACAGGCUCACAUAGGCGACGAUCCCUAGCUGGUCGGAGAGGAUGACCAGCCACACUGGAACUUAGACACGGUCCAGACUCCUACGUGAGGCAGCAGUGGUGAAUAUUGCACAAUGGGCGCAAGCCUGAUGCAGCCCUGCCGCGUGUAUGAAGAAGUCCUUCGGGUUGUAAAGUACUUUCAGCGGGGAGGCGUUACCCACAGAAGAAGCACCGGCUAACUCCGUGCCAGCAGCCGCGGUAAUAC
rnacentral:rRNA from 1 species